UACGUAGGGGGCAAGCGUUAUCCGGAUUUACUGGGUGUAAAGGGAGCGUAGACGGCAGCGCAAGUCUGGAGUGAAAUGCCGGGGCCCAACCCCGGAACUGCUUUGGAAACUGUGCGGCUCGAGUGCGGGGGAGGUAGGCGGAAUUCCUAGUGUAGCGGUGAAAUGCGUAGAUAUUAGGAGGAACACCAGUGGCGAAGGCGGCUUACUGGACCGUAACUGACGUUGAGGCUCGAAAGCGUGGGGAGCAAACAGG
rnacentral:rRNA from 1 species